AUGGAAAAAUCCUGGCUGGCCCCAUUACUGAUGCUUUGUCUUCACUUGGACUGUGUGAGCUGCCAACAGAAGUUGACACAGAGUCCUCCAUCCCUGAGUGUCCAGGAAGGAGAGAACAGCACUAUCAAUUGUACUUAUUCAGAGACAAGUCCUAGGAACUUUCAGUGGUACAGGCAGGAUCCUGGGAAAGGCCUCGCCCUCCUAUUUUACAUAACUUCAGGGAGGAAGCAAAGAGGAAGAAUCGGAUCUUCAUCCAACUUGAAGGAAAGUCAUAGCACCCUAGACAUCACUGCCUCCCAGACUGGAGACUCAGCCACCUACCUGUGUGCUGUGGAUGACAAUGAGGGGAAGCUUGUGUUUGGUAGUGGGACCAGAGUGACAGUGACCCCAGUUGUCAGGGACCCUGAACCAGCUUUGUACCAACUAAAAAGCCCAAAGUCAAAGGACACUUCAGUCUGCCUCUUCACCGACUUUGAUAACUCCAUCAUAAAUGCGACUAUAAAUAAAAGCGACCCAACAGUGCUAGAGAUGAUGACAAUGGAAUCUAAGAACUAUGGAACAGUGGUCUGGGGUACCAAACCAGACUUCAAUUGCACACAUGCCCUCCAGAAAAACAUCGUCAAUUUGACUGAACCUUCAGGUUCCACAUGCAACGUCAAGGAUGUAAACCAAAGCUUCGAAACAGACAAAAAUUUGAACUUGAUAAACCUAUCUCUGAUUGGUCUCCGUGUCAUCUUCUUGAAGACUGUAGGAUUUAACCUGCUCAUGACACUUCGUCUGUGGUCAAACUAAAGUCUGACAAGAAAACAAAUGAACUCCAAACUUCCAGCUCUGUUUUUACUCAUCUGCUCAUCAUCUUUAGCAUGAAAUGGGAAUAUUUGCCAAGACCCUGAUGACUGAGUAUAUACCUCUACUCUCCAGGACCAUAGGAGAUACCAUAGACCUGAUCCUACCAUUUAUUUGGAAUACCAACCCUGCCCUGUCAGUUCCUUCAUUGAUGUUUUUAACAUCUGUCAUUUAAUGGAGAUGGUAAAGGAAUGACCAGAGACACUUCUGACCAUGAAGAAAUGCUAUACCUGCAUCCUCAGGCCUCUUGAGAAACUUCUAUAAGAGUAGAAGAGAGAAGGACAUUGUAGGUCCCUAAAGGUGCCUUGGUAUCUCCAGACCUUUUUAGUCCUUGGGAAAAUUGCCUUCUGACCCUUUUUCCCUUCUUCAACCUUCCCUUCCUCCCGCCCAUAUAAGUAUGAAUUGUAAGAAGUUUUUAUUUUUUAAGAGUUCAUUAAAAAUCUAUUCAAUUCUUUUAUCAUUAUUAUUAUUAUAAUAGAAGAGAUUAUAUAAUUGAGCAAGACAACCUUUAUCAUGUAUCUGAACUGCACUGUAUUUUGCCAUCUAGCCAUGCUGACAGGCUUUA